rnacentral:lncRNA from 1 species
UUUGGGGUGCAUGUGCGAGAGAAAAAGUAAAGUGUUGUCUUCUUUAUUGGUUUAUAGAAGACGAGAGAAUGGUAGAAAAGAUUCAGAAAGAGAACUUAGGUUGUAACUACUCAGUUGCAGAAGAGAAGUCAGGUAUAAUAUUUUCUUAUUUAAUAAAUCUUAUUUUACCCUCAUAUUUUCUAUUUAGUUAUUUUUUUCUCUACUGAGGAAACGAAUUUAUAGUAAAAAUCCGAUUCAACGCUUCUGUAACGGAAUUCCAACAAUCGGUACCGAAUUCAUAACAAUUAGUAUCGGAACGGAUUACGGAUUCUCAAAAUCCGAUAUCAGGGUGAGUACCGGAUUCCUAACAAUGCACUCGCCCUCCUCAUCAUCAUCAAAUCUUGCAGCAUUUUCGUCACAGUCGUCGUCCACGACCACACCUUUCGCCGCAGUCUUAUCUACGCGAUGUGUAACAUAUCUGAGUUAGCGUUGAUGGAGGUGUAGGCGAAAUAAGAGAGAGGAGCUGGCGUGGACGUGAGGACAGUGGAGGACAAGGAGAUGGAAAGAGAAAGAAAGUAAAAAAACAGCGAAAGAAAAAAAAGAGGACAUUGGAGGAGAAAUAAUAAUAAGGAUAUUUUGAUCAAUUUACUAAAAGUUCAAAUCGAGUUUGCCAAAUUAAAAAAAUGGUUUGUUUUUGCAAAAACUCAAAAUUGGUGAAUUUUUAUGUAAAUUAAUCAAAAAUAAAUGUUGAAUCAUAAUUUUGAUUAAUUAUGUUUCAGGAAAAGGAGAGAUUUAUAACUUUUUUUUUCCCUCUUUUCUCUUUGGAAAAACUUCAAAUAACACACAUGUGGUUUCACACUUUCUUACUUUAAUACCCUGUAGUUUAAAAUAUAUUAAUUUAGUGUCAUGUGGUUUUAUUUUUAUCUUUUUAUUAUUGUGAUAAAGUUAAAACUAAAGGAUACUAAAGUAAAUAUUCGGUAAACUUAGAUGGGACAUCUGAAGUUUUUUUAUAUAUAAUGUAAGGAAAUAUUAACAAAAAAACUGACGAAAAGAUAAAAAUAAAACCACAGAAUAUUAAUUUGAUACACUUUAAAACAAAAUAUUAAAAUUAAAAAAUGUGAAACUGCGGAGGUGGG